rnacentral:lncRNA from 1 species
AAAAGGAUCGACAUAUAGAAUGGGAAUGUGGGACAGAUGAGAGAGCCUGGGAAGUACAUGGAGGCAAGAAGUGGAAACAGAUGAGUUGUCCCAACAUAAAAGAGAUUUGAUGGAAGAACACCGGACUCGAAAUUAAGGCCACUGUCCCUACUCACUGUCUCACUCGCACAACUGUUGCUGGAAUCACCCAAAAAAAAAAA